CGGACGGGUGAGUAAUGCUUGGGAAUCUGGCUCAUGGAGGGGGAUAACUACGGGAAACUGUAGCUAAUACCGCGUAGUAUCGGAAGAUGAAAGUGUGGGACCGCAAGGCCACAUGCCAUGAGAUGAGCCCAAGUGGGAUUAGGUAGUUGGUUAGGUAAAGGCUGACCAAGCCGACGAUCUCUAGCUGGUCUGAGAGGAUGACCAGCCACACUGGAACUGAGACA
rnacentral:rRNA from 1 species